rnacentral:rRNA from 1 species
GACGAACGCUGGCGGCGUGCUUAACACAUGCAAGUCGAGCGGUAAGGCCCUUUCGGGGGUACACGAGCGGCGAACGGGUGAGUAACACGUGGGUGACCUGCCCUCAGCUCUGGGAUAAGCCUGGGAAACCGGGUCUAAUACUGGAUAUGACUCCAUGACGCAUGUUGUGGGGUGGAAAGCCUUGUGCGGCUGAGGAUGGGCCCGCGGCCUAUCAGCUUGUUGGUGGGGUGANGGCCUACCAAGGCGACGACGGGUAGCCGGCCUGAGAGGGCGACCGGCCACACUGGGACUGAGACACGGCCCAGACUCCUACGGGAGGCAGCAGUGGGGAAUCUUGCGCAAUGGGCGAAAGCCUGACGCAGCGACGCCGCGUGAGGGAUGACGGCCUGGUUGUAA